rnacentral:rRNA from 1 species
AACGAACGCUGGCGGCAGGCUUAACACAUGCAAGUCGAACGCACCGCAAGGUGAGUGGCAGACGGGUGAGUAAUGCGUGGGAACCUACCCUGUGGUACGGAAUAACUUCCGGAAACGGAAGCUAAUACCGUAUAUCUCCUCUGGGAGAAAGAUUUAUCGCCAUAGGAUGGGCCCACGUUGGAUUAGCUAGUUGGUAGGGUAAUGGCCUACCAAGGCAACGAUCCAUAGCUGGUCUGAGAGGAUGAUCAGCCACACUGGGACUGAGACACGGCCCAGACUCCUACGGGAGGCAGCAGUGGGGAAUAUUGGACAAUGGGCGCAAGCCUGAUCCAGCCAUGCCGCGUGAGUGAAGAAGGCCUUAGGGUUGUAAAGCUCUUUUGGCGGGGACGAUAAUGACGGUACCCGCAGAAUAAGCCCCGGCUAACUUCGUGCCAGCCGCCGCAGUAACAC